CUGCCCCAGCAGCCUGGGUGGCUGUGUGUCACCAAGGGUGGUGAGAAGGACAUCUGUGUCUUCCCUUAACACUACAAUGGAUUUGUGCCCAAUUAAAAUGACUAUUAACUGUGGCCUUCAUUAGUAGACUGACAAUGGAAAUUUUUAAUCAAGUGUUUGGCUUGCAAAGAGGCGGAGGAGAGAAAGGAUCACUUCUCCAUUUACCACGGGAGCUGACCUGGAACCACUCUGGCAUGCAACAUCUGUGAACCUGAGCCACACCAGGGCCACCAAGAGCUGUGUGCAGUGAGGAAAAAGCCUUGCAGGCAGGACUGUGCCAGGCAGUUGUUAAAGGCCUGCGCCUGCCAAGCUCAGGAGGGUG
rnacentral:lncRNA from 1 species